CUUUCAAAACUUGUCAGCCGAGUCAGUCCUUUACCUGUUGAGCAGAGGAUGGACAUCAGAAACUACAUUCUGAAUUACGUGGCAUCACAGCCCAAGCUGGCUCCCUUUGUCAUCCAAGGUCUUAUUCAAGUCAUUGCUAAAAUCACUAAGUUGGGGUGGUUUGAGGUUCAGAAAGACCAAUUUGUCUUCAGAGAAAUUAUUGCUGAUGUGAAGAAGUUUCUCCAGGGUACUGUGGAACACUGCAUAAUAGGAGUAAUAAUCCUUUCUGAAUUGACUCAGGAAAUGAACCUGGUAAGCGAGCCUUUCCAUCUAACAGGAGCCUGAGUUUGCUUAAGUAAUGCUGUUUCUUUUCUGCUUUUAUUUGUGGCAAAAUAGACAGCCUUCAUUUUGUGGCAUAAAACUCUGAAUAAUCAA
rnacentral:sRNA from 1 species